GUCUUGUCUUCUCUAUAAACGGCAUAUGCUGCAAGACAAAUAACUGUGUGCACUAUAGCCCUUGUGUCCUGCGUAAUUGUUCAUGAGAAAUCAUCAGAGAACACCAGCCAGCUUGACCAAGACCCAAGACCCGCACAAGCCGUGGCUGCACCAAAAGUAGAAUUUAGGAAAAUCCUGGGGCUUCAUCAUCAAGAAAAGCCUGAAGAGAGCCUCCCAUCUCUCUGGAACAGAAAUCAAAGAUCGGUCAUUGACUAAGAGACAGACAUUGGAGUGACUUCUCCAGAAAGCCUCUCAGGAGUAGGAGUGGUAAGACUCAUGGUUCAAGAAUCUUGAUUCAUGCCUGCCUUGGGGAUAUUUCCACCACUGCACACAGCUGGUACCACACCGGGCUGGUGGGCAUGAGGCCCAGACUUGGGGCCACUGUUCUCCUCAGCGGUAUGGCUGAGACCAGGCUAGAGCUCUGCAACAAGAUGGAACUCAAGCAAGGAAAAACAAAAGGGAACAUAAAGUCAUAGGAAUGUGCAAAGAAGUCAGAGGGUGACUUCUGCUCCUUGUGGCCCACUGUAGGGAGGCCUCUCUGUCCAGCCCCAACUGUCUCCAAGGAGCACCCUCUAACCUGUCUAGGAUCCUCAGGGUCGAGGCUGAAGAGAAAGAAGUUGGGAUCCUGGAGAACUCUCUCCCCGCCAAGACCUACUUCUGGAGUUCCCACUUCGAGUCUGAAGACAGGCCGUCUCCCCAGAUGAUAACCAGAGGAAACGUUCCUUUCCCAGAGCCCCUGCCUCCUUACUUUCAGGAGGAUAAACGUAUCAAUCCAACAUCGGUAAACCCUGCAUCCAUCCAGGAAAAAGGGGACAUGAGGGAACAUUAUCUACGUCAUCUCCUUGGAUCUUCACAUCAACCCUGUCGAGUAUUUUUGUUUUGUUUUUUAUUUUAAAGAUUUAUUUGUUUUAGAGAAAGAGAGAGUUUGGAGAAAAGUAGAGGGAGAAGAGAGAGAGAAUCUCAAACAGACUCCCCACUGAGGAGGGAGCCCUAUGCGGGGUUCGAUCCCAUGACCCUGAGAUCAUGACCUGAGCUGAAAUCAAGAGUCAGACAAACACUUAACCAACUGUGCCACCCAGGCGCCCCCUGUCAGAUAUUUCUGGAAUAUCAUUCCUAGCCAAGGGAUGAAGAUAUUUUAGCUUGAAGGGAUGGAUUACGGGAAUUGACCAAGUUCACAGCUGGCUAGCUAGUGGCAGAGCAAGCACUAGUUCUAAGCCCAGUUCUCUGGUGUCUCUGUCCUUGAGCCCGGGACACCAGCCCCAGCAACUGCACCUUCCCUAGGAAUGAAGCUGGGGCUCUCCUACUGACCAGCGCAAGAAAGUUUCCUGGAAGUACUGAGUGAAAGAAAUGAGCACCGGCUGAGGCCACAGGCCUGAGGCAAGGGGACCUGGCAGUCAUCCAUCUCUCUGCCAGGUAGUCGAUCAGAAGACCAGGGUUCAAGUGCAGACUUCACCACGUGGAAGACUGUACAGGUCGGAAACCUUACCCUCAGUGCCUCAGUUUCUCAUAUGCAAAAUGGGGGAACAAAUAAAUCAAUAUAUAUAAAGUCCUUAGAACAGUGCCCGGUACAUAGUAGUUAUUAAAUAAAUUCAGGCAUUUUGUCAACACUGUUGUUGUUGUUACUAUUAUUUCCUCUCAAAGUUCUGUGAAGAAUAAAUGAGACGAUGAAUGUGGAAACACAUUACAAGCUGCAAAGGUCAGGGAUGAGAGCUCAUAGAUGCUGACAGGACAAUAGGAAAGGAGAGUUGGCCGCACAUCAUGUGUUCCAAGAGUCUCAAAACCUUCAAUGUGAAUCACAGAACUACUCCAAAAUCCAGCAUCAGGCUUCCCCGCUCAGUGGGGAAUCUGCUCCUCCCUCUACCACUCCCCCUGCUUGUGAUCUCUCUCUCUCUCUCUUUCUCUCUCUCUCAUGCUCACACUUUCUCU